UGCGAAGGGGGCUAGCGUUGCUCGGAAUCACUGGGCGUAAAGCGCACGUAGGCGGAUCGUUAAGUCGGGGGUGAAAUCCUGGAGCUCAACUCCAGAACUGCCUCCGAUACUGGCGAUCUUGGAGUCCGGGAGAGGUGAGUGGAACUCCGAGUGUAGAGGUGAAAUUCGUAGAUAUUCGGAAGAACACCAGUGGCGAAGGCGGCUCACUGGCCCGGUACUGACGCUGAGGUGCGAAAGCGUGGGGAGCAAACAGG
rnacentral:rRNA from 1 species